GUGUCUCAAAGGUUGGAAGGACAGCUGCUGCUGCUUACAUCGUUGUGGUUAAGGUUGGGCACACCCUCAGCUUUUGUUGUUUUUGUUUUUUGUUUGAGUGUUUGGCCUACAUAUAUGUCUGUGCUCCACAUGCAUGGAUGGUACCCGCAGAAGUCAGAAGAGGAGCAUGAGGAGCAAGACGAGCAUGUAGCAUGAGGAGGUUCUGGAAUACAAGCUGAGGCAGGAAAGAACACAGGAACCCCAGCAUGUUAUGGGUCGUUCCAGUUCAGUGGUCCUGAUCAGAAACAUCUGAGGCCAGGGGUCUGCUCACCAGAUCCGAACUCGGCGGCAGGAUCCAACACACCCAGACACUGCCAAGGCCCUGGUAACAGUGCCAUCUCCAUCCACGACAAGAGGA